UACAGAGGUCUCGAGCGUUAGGCGGAAUCACUGGGCUUAAAGCGUGUGUAGGCGGAUUGCUAAGUACCUUGUGAAAUCCCACGGCUUAACCGUGGAACUGCUUGGUAUACUGGCUGUCUUGAGCCACUUAGGGGCAACCGGAACAAACGGUGGAGCGGUGAAAUGCGUAGAUAUCGUUUGGAACGCCAAUGGUGAAAACAGGUUGCUGGGAGUGUGCUGACGCUGAGACACGAAAGCCAGGGAGCAAACGGG
rnacentral:rRNA from 1 species